CCUACGGGAGGCAGCAGUGAGGAAUAUUGGUCAAUGGACGCAAGUCUGAACCAGCCAAGCCGCGUGCAGGAAGACUGCCCUAUGAGUUGUAAACUGCUUUUGUAAGGGGGUAAAAGCAGAUACGUGUGCCUGUUUGCAAGUACUUUAUGAAUAAGGAUCGGCUAACUCCGUGCCAGCAGCCGCGGUAAUACGGAGGAUUCGAGCGUUAUCCGGAUUUAUUGGGUUUAAAGGGUGCGUAGACGGUUGGAUAAGUCAGUUGUGAAAUCUUGAGGCUCAACCUCGAAAUUGCAUUUGAUACUGUCCGUCUAGAGUAUAGUUGCGGUAGGCGGAAUGCAUGGUGUAGCGGUGAAAUGCUUAGAGAUCAUGCAGAACACCGAUUGCGAAGGCAGCUUACCAAGCUGCGACUGACAUUGAGGCACGAAAGUGUGGGGAGCAAACAGGAUUAGAUACCCCAGUAGUC
rnacentral:rRNA from 1 species